UAACCCGCCACGCUUAGCGCGUGGGGAGACAGUGUCAGGUGGGCAGUUUGACUGGGGCGGUCGCCUCCUAAAGAGUAACGGAGGCGCCCAAAGGUUCCCUCAGAAUGGAUGGAAAUCAUUCGCAGAGGGUAAAGGCACAAGGGAGCUUGACUGCGAGACUGACAAGUCGAGCAGGGACGAAAGUCGGGCUUAGUGAUCCGGUG
rnacentral:rRNA from 1 species